rnacentral:lncRNA from 1 species
GUGUGGCUUAAGUAUUUCUGAGAGUCCUGACCAUUGAGGUUUCACGGCGAGGUUGGAUUUGAGCUUUGCCAAAGGAAAUCUUCUGCAUCAACUUUGAGAACCCAAGAUGUGGUUUUAUGAGAGUGGAGGAGACUCAGAGAGAAACUCCUCCCCCCAAGCUGAUCGCUCAGGAUUGGCAUAUAAAUCUGAAUACUGAUGAGAGAGGGGCUGAUGAGUAGACUGCAUAGAAAGUAAAUUGCUUUCUCUUCUGUAGGAAGUUUCACCUGGGAAAUAAGCCCACCCUCAGGCAGUUGUUUGGCUGAAUCAUGGAGGACAAGGCUCCACAGGGCACGCUCCAAUCCUUGAGACCCUUUAGGCAUCUGGGAACUCAAAAUAUUUUUAUAAUAUUGAGAGGUCAUUGGCCUUUUUCACUCUCUGUCAUCAGUGUGCAGUGGAAUUUUCCAGAGUCUACAUCAUGCGUGAUGAUGUUAUCAUUCUGACAGCUAAUGGAAAUGUACAAUUAAGUGUUUUGCAUUUGCAGUUUUUCCCAGUUUUAAUUCCUGUUAUGGUAAAUAGCGAUAGCUAUAACUCCUAUGAAAAAGCCCUUGGGAGUCAUCGAUAAUUUUUAGAGGUGUAAAGGGGUCCUGAGACCAAACUGUUUGAGAAUUUUUCAUCCUAAAGAAUGGGACCAUUUCAUAUCUGGAAUGGGACCAUUCUCUAGCUCAUGUCCUCAGGCAUUUGAUGCUAGACACUGCCACACUGCCUGGAAUACUUACCUGCUUCCCUUUCCCCAUGUUUUAUGAAGAUCAUGCCAUGCAUGCUGUUGACACGUCCUCUUCCUUCAGAUUAUAGUACCAUUGACUAGAUGUCGUUUCCUUUGCCCACAGUCAUGUUCAUGCCUUCCUGAGACUCUGCUCUGGUCGGUUUGGCUGGACUCCAGCCACAUUCUGGUAUUCCUGGUUGCAUGUGGGUUACUGUCUUGCUCUCUGAUCCUCACAUGUGCAAUCCACCUCUCAGGGCGGGCCAUUUGGUUUAUAGUUCUCAACCUUAGUCCCAGAGAACGUCUCCGUCUUUCAAACUCUAGGCUUUUUUAAUGAGCUUCCACCUCUGUACCUCCUGUACCAAGUCAUAAAUAGUACAUGCUUAAGAGGAAAAGCAAAUACGAACUCUGUUAAAUUUGUUCCACGUUAAAUUUGGUGUUUGUUCUUCGCUCUCUUGAAUUGAUGUAAUGAUUAAUGGCUGGUAAAGGCAUGGCGUGACAUCUGGAAAACACAGCCGUGUUGCUCUUCAUUUGAAGUGCUUAUGAAAAGCUGUUAAAGUGAAUACACUGUUUGAGGCCAACAUGCACAUUAGCCUGGGCCCAGAGGUCCUAGGUCGAAUUGGACAAGGGCCAAAAGAUAUUUGAUUUUGAGCGAGUAAAAAUUCUAGUAAAUCUUAAAAAUAUUAUCUGCAUUUAGUGACCAUAGAAGUUUUCUUUUAUUACAUGUUUCCUUGCCUCUAACUGUGAAUUACGCAGACUAGUAAAAUGUAACAAGGCCAUUGAAUUCUGAAUUUUUUAUUUUCCUAUACUACAAAAUGGAGUAACUAUACACAUGGUCAUAUUUUAUGUUUAUUUAUUGAUACUCUUGUAGCUGUUUAUAUUUCUGUAUGCGUGUGGAGGAAAUACUCUAUAUUUGUGUCCUGUGGCACAUCUCAGCCUCAUCCUGUCUCUGAAUUCAGUGAUAUCAUAUUGGUAGCUUGCAUUCAGCCUUGGUGGAAGCAUUUAUAUCAUGGGAGCAGCAAACACUACAAAUCAGAACUUAUUUAUGGACUGUUUAGACUUUAGAAAGUAUAAAUUGUGUCCUGCACCUCCUUUAUAACAGCGAAAUUACAUAUAUAUAUAUAUAUAUAUAUGCACACGCAUAUACUAAAAUACUGGGGACCCUUUUUGAGGCUAAUAUCUACCUCUUAGUCCUUGAUGAUUCCUGUCUCUUCCACAUGUAAAAUGCACUCAUGCCCCUCCUAAGACCCCCACAAAUACCCAACCUGUUACAACCCCAGAUUGAAGUCCAGAGCCCCGUCAUCAAAAUCAGGCCCAGGUACAGACGCACCUCCUCAGGUACAGCUGGAAAGUGCACCUCCUUGAGUUCAGUUGCUCUUGAUCUGAGGUCUUGUGAGCCUAAAGAGAGAAGUUAUUUCCCUCUAGCAAACCCGACAGGUAAUGGUGAAACAGGCAUAAGAUGACUGCUUCAGGCACUCCUCCUUAAAAUGUGGAAAACAGGUGCCAGAGGUUUGAAAUUUAGCUGGGCAUAUUUUGGAAGUUGCUAGAUUAGGAUGUAGUCGUACUUCUCCGUGGUUCAUGGAUCUGCCCUCUGUGAGCUUGUUUCUGCUUUCUGAGUCGCUCAUCCUUUUCCACAAAAGGUAACCCAGGUUUGCAGCUGUGUAGCUUUCAAGCCUGUUACCUGCAGGCUAUAUUUUGAGAGACCAAAGCCCUCCCCCCUCGCUUUUUUUCCCCCAUUUUGCGCUGUUCCUGUCCUAUUCAGUUCAAGCUGAUGGUGUUUCUGCUAAAAUAAUUGUCUUUAAAACUGCGUAUGUUCCUUAUUAGAAAAAAAACAUGUCUGCAGAUCUUUUUGAGGUAAGUCCUUCUGUGACUUGGGCCUCUGCUGAAAUUGCUGAGGAAAUUCACCCUGAAGUUUCUUCGAAGCCUGAUUGUGUGACGGAGCAGUCCUCUGAGGCACCGUAUCCGAUCUGUUUGAGGCCGUAUUUUCCUGGAAAUGUCAUGGACUUCAUCUUUGCCUGGAAGCCGUUUCUUAAUUAUAGCACUGGUAGUCAGCGGGAGAGGCUGGGGAUUUUUACAAUCAGGAAGUCCGUGUUCCGUUUUUGUUUAAGUCUUUCCUUAGACACCUCUCUCUCUCUGCUUGCAUUUUGCUGUACGUAGCAAAGAGCAUCUAAGCGGCACCUUGAAAACCUGCACUGGAAUCUUCUUAGCAAGGUGAUCCCAUUUUAUGUGGUACAUUGUCUACUUUCCGCAUACCUCCAGGAAGCAGUGUCAGGAUACUUUCUGACACUGCCUAACAGCGUCCCUUUCCCUCCAGUUUCUAGUGACUUUUUUGCACAUCUUGCAGCCCUGACUCGUACCUUCCUCAGAGGCAUUCUCUUCACCACAUGUGAGGCUCCCACCAAUACUCUCCUCAGAGUCUUUGCUGCUUCUGCCCACUGCCUUCUCCAAAGCUAUUUUCAUAUUUUUAGUUAUGUGCUACUCUGAGGCUCCAUUUCCAAGUACCAAAGUAACAAAAUCUGUCUUACUCAUCUAUUGUUGUGUAAUAAACGACUCCACAACCUAGUAGCUUAUAUCAGUAAACAUUUAUCACUUAACCCUUUCUGUGGUCUGAGCAUCCAGAGCAUCUAGGCUUGGUAGUUCUGGCUUGAGAUCAUUAAUGAGGCUGUGGUUAAAUUUUUGGCUAGGGAUGAAGUCAACUGAAGGCUUCACUUGGGGGCUCCAAGGUCUGCUUCCAACAUGCCUGACUUACAGGGUUGUUGCAGGAAGCCGUAAUCUGUCACUGGCUUUUUGGCAGGAACUCUUGAGUUCCUCACCACGUAGCCUAUCCGUAGGGCUAUUCAAAUGUUUGUGGCAGCUGACUUCUUACAUAGCAAUGACCCAAGAGAGAAGGAAAAAAAAUUGUACAUUGAAUGUCUUUUAUGACCUAUCCUGAGAGGUCAAAUACUGACAUUUCUGCAGCAUUCUACUGCUUUCACAGAUGAGUUGUGUUCAGUCACCGUGGGAGGUGGUAUAUACAUGGGCAGGGAUACCAAAAGGCGGAGAGUGUUAGGGGAUAUCUUGGAAGGAUGACUGUUACAGAUACCAAGUUCAGCAUCUGCCCCACAGAAGUUCAAUGAGGAUGUCUUGCCGCUGAAACUCCUGGUAUUGACCGGAGCUGUACAUAGGUGCUGUGCUUGGUGUCCGAGCUGAAGCUGAGAAUUCCUAAAGGUGGGAUCAGUGAUGGCUUUUAGAUAAAUACAAUGUACAUAAAACAUUCAGCACACUGCUUAGAGCCAAAUAAGCACAGCAAACAUAAUGCUUUUCUUGUCAUUCCUAUUUUAUGGAAUAUUCUGGAUCACUUCUGGGCCAGAAAUGCAAAUAUAGCUUCUGGCACAAAUCGUAGGCCAAUCUUGCCGUCCCCAUGCCCAUUAAAUUUGUAAUAAUAGUAAUAAUAAAAAACCCAACAACAAGAGUUUUUUUUAACAUUAUUUUUUAAUUUUAAAAAUUUAUUUUUUCAUUUUUAUUUUUUUGUGGUUGUGCCUGCAACAUGCGGAAGUUCCCUGGCCCAGGGAUCAAAUCUGUGCCACAGCAGUGACAAUGCUGGAUCCUUAACUCACUGAGCCACCUGGAAACUCCAUAGAGUCUUUGUUUUUACUUGUCCCCGUCACAAUCCUUUGACUGAGUCCCUGGGGAGUUGGGCCCAUGGACUAUUAGAAUGAUGCACAUUGUAUUUCCUUUCAGUCCAGCAACUGGCCUCUUUGAAUCAAAUUUUGGCCCUUCCUACUUCCUCUCCAUUUCCUCUAAAAAUUAAUUGUUGUCAUCCUUCAUCCCAGCCUGAGCCUCCUCAAACUUUCCUGCAAGUAAUUUCUGGAGGCUUCAUUCUAACUCCAGGCUUGCAGAUACCUGCCUGAACCAUAUUUGUGUUUAGGCUGGGAAUUUCCUGCUAUCAACACCGGAAAUGACUAAGAAAACUAGAGGUUAAGGUGAAAAUUAAGCUUAGGUAGGAUAGAAAGUUCUCAGUUGGCUGAAUAAGCAAUGUGUAUUCUCAAGCUAGGAGGCUGGUUCCUCAUUUUCCCAUCCAUAGCUCAUGUUUGAAAAAUCACAACCAACCCCAAAACAUAAAUGAUAGCGAUGUCAGGUACCAUUUUUCGAUUACAUUUGUUUCAGGUGAAAGAUAUUGCCUUGAAGUGGCCUCUUCCAUUGGACGUCUGAUAAAAAUUAGAAUAGGAACCAGGGAAGUGUGGAAUUGUUUGAAGAGUUUGAUACUUGACAUUAAAAAAAAAAAAAAAAAAA